CAAGGUGGCAAUAUGAAGGGGGACAGUGAGAUGGUACCACUCUUUAAGAAGGAAGGGUUUGAACCGAAGGUACAAAGAACAGUAGGAGUGCUAGCUGCCAGUGCUGUGUUGUUUGGAAACUGUGUCGGUGCAGGAAUCUUCAUUUCUCCCAAAGGGGUCUACGAGAAAGCAGGGAGCCCUGGAGCGGGACUGUUGAUAUGGGGACUAGCUGGUAUUAUUG